rnacentral:rRNA from 1 species
GGGCUAAUGGUGGAUGCCUUGACUGUAAGAGGCGAUGAAGGACGUAUCAGGCUGCGAUAAGCCUCGGGGAGCUGCCAAAGAGCUUUGAUCCGAGGAUUUCCGAAUGGGGCAACCC